rnacentral:rRNA from 1 species
UACGGAGGGGACUAGCGUUGUUCGGAAUUACUGGGCGUAAAGCGCACGUAGGCGGAUUUGUAAGUCAGGGGUGAAAUCCCGGGGCUCAACCUCGGAACUGCCUUUGAUACUGCAAGUCUUGAGUCCGAUAGAGGUGAGUGGAAUUCCUAGUGUAGAGGUGAAAUUCGUAGAUAUUAGGAAGAACACCAGUGGCGAAGGCGGCUCACUGGAUCGGUACUGACGCUGAGGUGCGAAAGCGUGGGGAGCAAACAGG